UUUUCCUCCCUCACUCCUUGAAGCCCCCAGAAUAUGAAAACAAUAGCACUUAAGUCAAAAUUUCAUACCCAGGAUGUUCAAGUUCAUAAGUGUGGAAAAAGGAAGUCUGCCUUUUCUGCUAAAUGAUAAUGAAUGGGAUGGAGUAAACUGGGAUUUUUUUAUUUCUAACGACAUUUUGCUGGGGUUCAUGGCUCCUUUUCAACAAGCUAUACAAGUAAUUUGAUAAGAUGGCUGGUACCAAGCCAUGCUGAAAAGGAAGAGAAGCUAUAGAGAAUAUGGUCAAAUACUUGAGAAUUUCUUAAAUGUUAUUAAAACCACUACAAAUUAGAGUGAUGAUUAUUUCACUCCGUUCUAGGGAGGUGUGAUUUUCUGCAGGCCUGUGUGUGCGUGUUGUGCCGUGUGAGUGUUAAUGGUCUUCUGGCUCUUUAAGAAGAUUUCUGCACUGUGGUUAUUUGGCAGUGUGCUUUAGCCAGUAACUAGUGUGGGGAGGUUUGUACUUUUCUGACAGCUCAUAAGCAGCAGAAGAGGCUUCUAAUGCUCUUUCUUUGCUGUGAGAGGAAAGGGUCUGCUGAUAAUUGUCCGAGAUUUCAAUCUGAUGGUACUCCAGAAAAUAAUGAGGAUCAGGGGUUGGCUGAUUGGGCAUGGAAGAAGCAGCCUUAUUGUGGCUCUCCUGUGGGCAGCAUUGGGAAUAAAAGCUGCAGGAUGUGACAUGCUUGAAAUCAAAUACCCAUCAGCCCGCCUUAAGCUUAAAGAAGGAGAUCCCCUGACCUUGAAUUGCACAGUGUGGUAUGAACAGGAACAGGAACAGAAACAGUCUUCAGAUCUGAAGGUCUACUGGUGUAAAUGGGUGGAAAAUCAGAGCAGCUGUGCUAGGGUUGGCGAAGAGCUGGAACGCUUGCUAUCAACAAUGAGCUUAAAUCCCCAAGCAAGGGUCAGCUUGUCUCUGCUCCUGGAGAUUCAUAAUGUCAGCCGUUCAGACAGCGGUGGUUACCAGUGCAGAGCCAGUGCAAAUAACCAGAUUGCUAUCGGUCACUAUAUCCGAGUGGAAGUAACAGCUGCCUUCUCUGUGGUUUAAGAAAGCCGCUGUGGUUUGAGUUUACAGUGAGACAGUUCUGCCAAGUGUUUUUACUUACCUGCACUUUGUUCAUGCUUGUAGCAGAAGAAUUAAACCUUGUGAGUUCUUUGAACACCACAGGGAGUCCAGAGGCUAUCUCCCAAGGCAGCAAAGCUCCGAGGAUGGAUUCCUGGCUGGAAAAGACAUGGGCACUGAUCAUGAUACUCUGGCUGACCCUUUCUUAAAAGGGCACAUGUGAUGAAGAUAUGGUUUCUGGUGCUUGGGCAGAUUCCUCUAAAUGGCAGAGUAAAAGUUAACGGACUAAACUCCUAUAAAGUUGUAAUAGCAAAUUCAUUGUAUUGCACAGGACUGCAUUUCAGCGUUUCAUGGAAGACUGUUCCCGAAGAAGGAUUUUCAGUGGCUUAAUGUCUGAGCACCUGGAUGGCAGCUCUGCAGGAUUAUUUAUUGUUUCCUACACUAGUGGUUAACCCGUCAACACCCCCUCAUCAGACAGAGGGACUCACGCUCGUCCGCAUUGGAAGUGAAAUUCUGUAGUCUCUGAUAUCAGUCUUGUGCGUUUUGUCUCCACUAUAACUGAGGAUGGAUUUCUCAGUGUAGAGCAUUUAAAGGGCAGGAAGAGAUUUCUUUCCAUGUCAUCUUUCUGGACCUAUCCAGAGAGAGCUUCUAGCACUCCUUGCCUCAACCUGCUACACUCCCUCUUUAAAGAAAGAUUCCACAGUGCUUCUCUCCUGUGGCCAUUCUGUCCUCUGCAUUGUCUUCUACCAUGUUCUGUUCUACCACCUACUCUCUCUGGGUUGCUUUAAGGGUGUUGGAAGCUCUUAUCUAAUCCCAAGCAGUGGGAGGUAGAAUUCUGUAAACAGGGUUUUGCAGCUUUUGUAGCUUUAGGAUUCAUACUGCAGGUCAGUUUGGGGAAUUGGAAAGAGAGACCUUCUAGGGAUUAGCUCCUAGAUACACCUCUACCCCGAUAUAACGCGACCCGAUAUAACACGAAUUCGGAUAUAACGCGGUAAAGCAGUGCUCCGGGGAGGGGGUGGGGGGUGGG